ACGCUGGCGGCAGGCUUAACACAUGCAAGUCGAACGGUAACAGGGAUUAGCUUGCUAAUCUGCUGACGAGUGGCGGACGGGUGAGUAAUGCUUGGGAAUCUGGCUUAUGGAGGGGGAUAACUACGGGAAACUGUAGCUAAUACCGCGUAAAAUCUUCGGAUUAAAGGGUGGGACUUUCGAGCCACCUGCCAUAAGAUGAGCCCAAGUGGGAUUAGGUAGUUGGUUAGGUAAAGGCUGACCAAGCCGACGAUCUCUAGCUGGUCUGAGAGGAUGACCAGCCACACUGGAACUGAGACACGGUCCAGACUCCUACGGGAGGCAGCAGUGGGGAAUAUUGCACAAAGGGGGGAACCCUGAUGCAGCCAUGCCGCGUGAAUGAAGAAGGCCUUCGGGUUGUAAAGUUCUUUCGGUGACGAGGAAGGUCGGUAGGUUAAUAGCCUAUCAAAUUGACGUUAAUCACAGAAGAAGCACCGGCUAACUCCGUGCCAGCAGCCGCGGUAAUACGGGGGGUGCGAGCGUUAAUCGGAAUAACUGGGCGUAAAGGGCACGCAGGCGGUGACUUAAGUGAGAUGUGAAAGCCCCGAGCUUAACUUGGGAAUUGCAUUUCAUACUGGGUCGCUAGAGUACUUUAGGGAGGGGUAGAAUUCCACGUGUAGCGGUGAAAUGCGUAGAGAUGUGGAGGAAUACCGAAGGCGAAGGCAGCCCCUUGGGAAUGUACUGACGCUCAUGUGCGAAAGCGUGGGGAGCAAACAGGAUUAGAUACCCUGGUAGUCCACGCUGUAAACGAUGUCGAUUUGGGGAUUGGGCUUUGAGCUUGGUGCCCGUAGCUAACGUGAUAAAUCGACCGCCUGGGGAGUACGGCCGCAAGGUUAAAACUCAAAUGAAUUGACGGGGGCCCGCACAAGCGG
rnacentral:rRNA from 1 species